UACAGAGGUCUCAAGCGUUGUUCGGAUUCAUUGGGCGUAAAGGGUGCGUAGGCGGCGCGGUAAGUCGGGUGUGAAAUCUCGGAGCUUAACUCCGAAACUGCAUUCGAUACUGCCGUGCUUGAGGACUGGAAAGGAGACUGGAAUUUACGGUGUAGCGGUGAAAUGCGUAGAUAUCGAGAGGAACACCUGCGGCGAAGGCGGGGUAGCUGGGCCGACACUGACGCUGAAGCGCGAAAGCUAGGGGAGCGAACGGG
rnacentral:rRNA from 1 species